rnacentral:ribozyme from 1 species
UGCCCAGCAACUCCUAUCCCUACCUCCACGCGGUACCGGCCGGAAACUAUGAGCAACCUUAGGGAAGAUCGGGUAACCAACACCGGUGGGAACUUUGGUCGUAGGCUGACAGGGAAGG